rnacentral:ncRNA from 1 species
AAUUUAUAUGGGCAAAAUUCCUGAAAAGGAAUGACGCAAAGCCAUGGAUCUACAGCCUCAUUUUUUUGGGGCCAUGACUGCCAGGUUGCAGAG